GCAUUAAUAGGGGUGGGCAUGCCUCAAUCAUACAACAAUGGAGAACUAGUUAUCAACGUUCUCAAUCAUACAACAAUGGUGUCGUGUAUUCAAUAAAUAAUUACAAACUUCAAUUGGGCAAGGAAGGAAGAUGGAUCCAGUCUGAAAUGAGUUUGCAGAAGAGGAGCUCAAAUGGCUAUCCAAAAAAGAUGCAUUUCCUUCUAUUGAAACGUUUGUUGACCUGUCAUCUAUUCAACCUAGCACAACCAAGAACCAAUAAACAACCCCAGUACUUGAGUGCAGGACAGGUAGUAGCAACAUUAAUAACAACACUAACAACAUUUCCCUCCUAAACACCUAUGGUCCCCUUAAGGUCUCAGUCUGUGCACGGAGCAAGAGUUGCAGUAGGCAUCGCCCUAGCAUUGCUGAUAACUCUAGUCAGCUAGUUUGGUGAAGACAACCAAGUAACAAAACUUCCAAAGAAGACGAAGGGAUGAAAAUCUCACCCAUUAGGAGCAAAUGAUGGGCGGUCCCCUUGGGCUGAAAACACUUUGUAAUGCAUGCGGGUUAGGUUCAAGUGCAAAAUGACUCACAAAUAUUAUAGCCUAGUGUUGGAUGCAAAUAACUUAGCUUUUACUUGUAAUUUACAAAAUAGUCCAUUAUUUUAAUUUGGUGAACAUGGUUGUAAUUGACAAAGAAAUGCGAUUGUGUUUCAUUAUUAGUUGAUUUAUCAAUGAAAAAUGAAGUUUGUUUUCUUCCA